rnacentral:lncRNA from 1 species
CAGAAAAUGAAGACCCAAAGGAACAGGAGAUCUGUGGAUUUUCAUGGACAGUCAUCUGUGGAUUUUCAAGGACAGUCACACAGAAGCAUACUUGGAGAACAGGGAUUAUCUUGAGAGUUGUCAAACUGGUUGCUGGAAUUCCGGGUCUGAAAAAUAUCGUAAGUGAUCCUUAAGCCAAAGCCUUAUGAUUCUAAUGUCAGAGAUUCUAUCUAUAGAACAAUGGGGGAUGCAAAUGGUCAGGAUCUAGUGCCACAUGAUUUUCGGCAAAAAGGAAGCGCGCCAAAGAGCAGCCUGAUUAAUGCUUAUUAUAUUCCUGUCCAGAACCCUGCAUGAAAUUCUUGUCAACCUGGUAGGGAUGGCUUCAGCUGCAGCCAAGGCUUGACCAUUAGAGAGAAAACAUAUGGAUCCAAAUGAUACCCUUGAUACCAAGAUUUCUUGGAUCCAUCAUGAACAUUCCAAAGCUUAUGGAAGAGCUGUAGGUCACAGGACGGCUAGAGAAGGAGAAGAGAAGCUUAUUGGAUACAACUUCUGAAUUAGAGACAGGCUUUAUGUUCAGGCUCAUUUCUCCUAUCCAUUUUGAAAAUGGCUCAAUUUAAAAAAAAAUUUAUUUUUAAGUUCAGAAAUA